UCGAGGAUCUUUGGCAAUGGGCGCAAGCCUGACCAAGCGACGCCGCGUGUGCGAUGAAGGCCUUCGGGUUGUAAAGCACUGUCGAGGGGGAUAAAGCCCCACAAGGGUUGAUUGAUCCCUGGAGGAAGCACGGGCUAAGUUCGUGCCAGCAGCCGCGGUAAGACGAACCGUGCGAACGUUGUUCGGAAUCACUGGGCUUAAAGGGCGCGUAGGCGGCUGCUCAAGUCCGGGGUGAAAGCCCCCAGCUUAACUGGGGAAGUGCCUUGGAUACUGAGCGGCUCGAGGGAGAUAGGGGUCGAGGGAACUUCUGGUGGAGCGGUGAAAUGCGUUGAUAUCAGAAGGAACGCCGGUGGCGAAAGCGCUCGACUGGAUCUCUACUGACGCUGAGGCGCGAAAGCCAGGGGAGCAAACGGGAUUAGAUACCCCUGUAGUCC
rnacentral:rRNA from 1 species